AUGUACAAAAAUAUCACUAAGCUUGCUAGUAACAAGGCCAGUUUAUACAGUAUUCUAUCAUCAAUAAGCUUGCUAGCAUUCGUCGGCCCACGCCAAGCAGUCGUGGUGCAGCUGAGCCAGCGUCCUCUGCUCCACGCUGCCGCUACUCCUGCCCUUCGUCGCCUCCGCCGCCAUUGCCGCACCCUGGUUCACGCCGCCGUUGCCACCAGAAUGCCCAUGGACAGGCGGGGGAGCUUCGGCGCCGGUGAGCUGCUGCACGACGGCACGAAACUGAUCCGGGUGGACGAGGUACACCGCCGUAGCCGACCGGUCCCGGUGCCUCCAGUGCGGCCUCCUCGGCGCCUCCGCCGCGCCGCCGCUACAGUCGUUCCCGACCUUCACGAUGUUGUUGUUACUGCUGUUGCUGUUGCUCUUCAUUGCUUGCUAACUUGA
rnacentral:rRNA from 1 species